rfam:Musa acuminata subsp. malaccensis Doubled-haploid Pahang (DH-Pahang) genomic chromosome, chr4
CUCUGGACGCAGCGGUUUAUCGAUCUCUUCCUGGCCUUGUCGGUCUCUUUUCGUGGUGGAUUCGAUGGUUUCUUUUCUUGCUGAGGUUACAAAGCCGGAAUCGGUCGAUAAACCUCUGCAUCCGGA